rnacentral:lncRNA from 1 species
AUAUCUCAAAAUAUUAUCAAAGGAAAAGUGUUUUCUUAAAGGGCAGCAGUCUCUGUUGCAGAGAUCAUGGUUGUGCUAGCAAAAGAACAGAUCCCUUUGCCCUUCUUCUUGCCUUUGAGAGUGGUUUGCAAUUCUUUCCCCCACUAAGCAGAUCAGAAAAAUCAUGGGAACAGACCAGGUCAUUUUACAUCCUGCAUUACCCACAGGUCAUAUCAGAAAUCCUAGCGGAAGUUUUGUCUUU